rnacentral:piRNA from 1 species
UAAGAUGCCACAACAUGAUCCUUCUGCAACU